UUUACGAAGCUAUUGCAAUGAACCUCAAAUUUUUUAUUAGAACGAGCCAUGAUACAGCAUUAAAUGACAAAAUACAUCACAAUAAAGAAACAUGACAAAAUCCAAUAAACCACAGAUCCAAGGAAUAGAGGAGUCCAUGAUUCCAUUCAGUGAAGUGAUGAUGAAAAAAAAAAAUGACAGUUUAAUCAGAGGACACAAUUUUACAGGUACUGAUAGUAUAAAGAUCAUGAACAGUUGGACUAUAUAAGGACAGAUAACCACUCACACCCAAACCCACCCCACAAGGGGGAAUGAAGCCACAAUCACAUGAAGUUUCAAUUUUUAUCAAUUAUUCAAAGCAGGCAAUGGACAUCAAAACUGCUACUCAAGUACCUGCCCAAUAUCCCAAGGCCAUCA
rnacentral:misc_RNA from 1 species